AGGAGAACAAGGUAGGCCAUAAGGACAGAAUGUGUAUCGGGGUUAUAGACCACGACUUCCCAGGGAUCCCUCCUUAUCAAAGACGGCCUAGAGAGGAUGGCAAUGAAGAAGACUGUCUGUUAUACACAUCUCAC